GACGAACGCUGGCGGCGUGCCUAAUACAUGCAAGUUGAGCGCUGAAGGUUGGUACUUGUACCGACUGGAUGAGCAGCGAACGGGUGAGUAACGCGUGGGGAAUCUGCCUUUGAGCGGGGGACAACAUUUGGAAACGAAUGCUAAUACCGCAUAAAAACUUUAAACACAAGUUUUAAGUUUGAAAGAUGCAAUUGCAUCACUCAAAGAUGAUCCCGCGUUGUAUUAGCUAGUUGGUGAGGUAAAGGCUCACCAAGGCGAUGAUACAUAGCCGACCUGAGAGGGUGGUCGGCCACAUUGGGACUGAGACACGGCCCAAACUCCUACGGGAGGCAGCAGUAGGGAAUCUUCGGCAAUGGACGAAAGUCUGACCGAGCAACGCCGCGUGAGUGAAGAAGGGUUUCGGAUCGUAAAACUCUGUUGGUAGAGAAGAACGUUGGUGAGAGUGGAAAGCUCAUCAAGUGACGGUAACUACCCAGAAAGGGACGGCUAACUACGUG
rnacentral:rRNA from 1 species